GACGAACGCUGGCGGCGUGCUUAACACAUGCAAGUCGAACGAAGUGGCGAACGGGUGAGUAACGCGUAAUCAACCUGCCCUUCAGAGGGGGACAACAGUUGGAAACGACUGCUAAUACCGCAUACUGAAGGCGGGGAUUGCGUCUGAUUAGCUAGUUGGAGGGGUACCGGCCCACCAAGGCGAUGAUCAGUAGCCGGUCUGAGAGGAUGAACGGCCACAUUGGGACUGAGACACGGCCCAGACUCCUACGGGAGGCAGCAGUGGGGAAUAUUACACAAUGGGCGCAAGCCUGAUGCAGCCCUGCCGCGUGUGGGAUGAAGGCCUUCGGGUUGUAAAGCUCUGUUAAUCGGGACGCGGUACCGGAAUAGAAAGCCACGGCUAACUCCGUGCCAGCAGCCGCGGUAAUUC
rnacentral:rRNA from 1 species